CAGCAGCCACGGGAAUACGAAGGGGGCUAGCGUUGUUCGGAAUUACUGGGCGUAAAGCGCACGUAGGCGGAUAUUUAAGUCAGGGGUGAAAUCCCAGAGCUCAACUCUGGAACUGCCUUUGAUACUGGGCAUCUUGAGUAUGGAAGAGGUGAGUGGAAUUCCGAGUGUAGAGGUGAAAUUCGUAGAUAUUCGGAGGAACACCAGUGGCGAAGGCGGCUCACUGGUCCAUUACUGACGCUGAGGUGCGAAAGCGUGGGGAGCAAACAGGAUUAGAUACCCCGGUAGUCCCUGUCUCUUAUAC
rnacentral:rRNA from 1 species